AUGGCUCUGGGCAGACAUCUCUUCCUGGGGGGACUCUGUGUCCUCCUCCUCAGCACCAUGGUGGGUGGUCAAGCUCUGGAGCUGAGGCUGAAGGAUGGAGCCCACCGCUGUGAGGGGAGAGUGGAAGCGAAGUACAAAGGGGAAUGGGGCACAGUGUAUGCUGAGUACUGGCUCCUAGCAGGUGUAGAAGAGGUGUGCAGACAACUGGAAUGUGGAGUUGCCAUUGAUGCUCCCAGAGGGUCUUAUUUUGGACCAAGACUUGGCCCCAUUUGGUUUUUAUAUAUUUCCUGCGAGAGUAGAGAGGAUGAAUCAACUUUGACUCUCUAUGAGUGUGUUCAUGUUCAUUUUAAAAACUAUAAUGACACCUUCUCUCAUGACCAGGAUAUUGGAGCAGUCUGCUCAGGAUCUGUGCGUCUGUUUGGAGGGGAUAGACCCUGCUCAGGGCAUGUAGAAGUACAUUCUGGAAAAGAAUGGAUCCCAGUGUCUGAUGGGAAUUUCACACUCCCCACUGCCCAGGUCAUCUGUGCAGAGCUGGGAUGCGGCAAGGCUGUGUCUGUCCUGAAACACAUGCCCUUCAGAGAGUCUGAUGGCCAGGUCUGGGCUGAAGAGUUCAGGUGUGAAGGGGAGGAGCCUGAGCUCUGGGUCUGCCCCAGAGUGCCCUGUCCAGGGGGCAUGUGUCACCACAGUGGAGCUGUUCAGGUUGCCUGUUCAGCAGCGUACUCGGAAUUGCGGCUCAUGACAAACGGCUCCUCUCAGUGUGAGGGGCAGGUGGAGAUGAACAUUUCUGGACGAUGGAGAGCGCUGUGUGCCUCCCACUGGACUCUGGCCAAUGCCAAUGUUGUCUGUCGACAGCUUGGCUGUGGAGUUGCCAUCUCCACCCCCAGAGGACCACACUUGGUGGGCAGAGAUGACCAGAUCUCAGCAGUCCGAUUUCACUGUUUGGGGACUGAGUCUUUCCUGUGGAGUUGCCCUGUGACUGCCCUGGGUGGUUCUGACUGUUCCCAUGGCAACAUGGCCUCUGUGACCUGCUCAGGAAACCAGACCCAGGUGCUGCCCCAGUGCAGUGACUCCCUCCCUGAACCAACAGGCUCUGCAGCCUCAGGGGAGAGCGCCCCCUACUGCUCAGACAGCAGACGGCUCCGCCUGGUGGACGGGGGCGGUCACUGCGCCGGGAGAGUGGAGAUUCUUGACCAGGGCUCCUGGGGCACCAUCUGUGAUGACGGCUGGGACCUGGAAGAUGCCCACGUGGUGUGCAGGCAGCUGGGCUGUGGAGAAGCCCUCAAUGCCACGAGGUCUGCUCACUUCGGGGCAGGAUCAGGGCCCAUCUGGCUGGAUGACCUAAACUGCACAGGAAAGGAGUCCCACGUGUGGAGGUGCCCUUCCCGGGGCUGGGGGCGGCACGACUGCAGACACAAGCAGGACGCGGGGGUCAUCUGCUCAGACAGCAGACAGCUCCGCCUGGUGGAUGGAGGAGGUCCCUGCGCCGGGAGAGUGGAGAUCCUUGACCAGGGCUCCUGGGGCACCAUCUGUGAUAACGGCUGGGACUUGGAUGAUGCCCGCGUGGUGUGCAGGCAGCUGGGCUGUGGAGACGCCCUCAAUGCCACGGGGUCUGCUCACUUUGGGUCAGGAUCAGGGCCUAUCUGGCUGGACACACUGGACUGCAGAGGAAAGGAAUCCCACGUGUGGAAGUGCCCUUCCCGGGGCUGGGGAGCGCACAACUGCAGUCAUAACGAUGCCGGAGUCAUCUGCUCAGGAUUUGUGCGUCUGGUUGGAGACAACGGACCCUGCUCAGGACGGGUAGAAGUACGUCCUGGAGAAGAAUGGACCCCAGUGUCUGACGGGAACUUCACACUCCCCACUGCCCAGGUCAUCUGUGCAGAGCUGGGGUGCGGCAAGGCUGUGUCUGUUCUGGGACACGAGCUCUUCAGAGAGUCUGAUGGCCGGGUCUGGGCUGAAGAGUUCAGGUGUGAGGGGGAGGAACGUAAGCUCUGGUGGUGCCCCAGAGUGCCCUGUCCAGGGGGCACUUGUCACCACAGUGGAGCUGCUCAGGUUAUUUGUUCAGGUGAGAUGCAGGUCAGGACUAACGUCCCUGCACACUUUGUUCAGGUGAGAAAUCAUGAGAUUUUUCUGAAUUUCUGUCUUCUUCUACCAGUGUACUCAGAAGUCCGACUCAUGACGAAUGGCUCCUCUCAGUGUGAAGGGCAGGUGGAGAUAAACAUUUCUGGACGAUGGAGAGCGCUCUGUGCCUCCCACUGGAGUCUGGCCAAUGCCAAUGUCGUCUGUCGUCAGCUCAGCUGUGGAGUCGCCAUCUCUACCCCCAGAGGACCAUACUUGGUGGAGAGAGGUGACCAGAUAUCAACAGUCCGAUUUCACUGCUCGGGGGCAGAGUCCUUCCUGUGGAGUUGCCCUGUGACUGCUUUGGGUGGUCCUGACUGUUCCCAUGGCAACACAGCCUCUGUGAUCUGCUCAGGAAACCAGACCCAGGUGCUGCCCCAGUGCAACGACUCCGUGUCUGAACCAGCAGGCUCUGCGGCCUCAGAGGAGAGCGCCCCCUACUGCUUAGACAGCAGGCGGCUCCGCCUGGUGGAUGGAGGAGGUCUCUGUGCCGGGAGAGUGGAGAUCCUUGACCAGGGCUCCUGGGGCACCAUCUGUGAUGACGGCUGGGACCUGGACGAUGCCCGCGUGGUGUGCAGGCAGUUGGGCUGUGGACAAGCCCUCAGUGCCACGAGGUCAGCUCACUUUGGGGCGGGAUCAGGGCCCAUCUGGCUGGACGACCUGAACUGCACAGGAAAUGAGUCCCACGUGUGGAGAUGCCCUUCCCGGGGCUGGGGGCGGCACGACUGCAGACACAAGGAGGACGCGGGGGUCAUCUGCUCAGAGUUCCUGGCCCUCAGGAUGGUGAGUGAGAACCAGGAGUGUGCUGGGUGGCUGGAAGUUUUCUACAACGGGACCUGGGGUAGUGUCUGCAGCAGCUCCAUGGAUGAUGUCACCGUGUCCAUCAUCUGCAGUCAGCUUGGCUGUGGGGACAGCGGAAGUCUCAACACCUCUGUUGGUCUCAGGGAAGGUUCUAGACCCCAUUGGGUAGAUGGAAUCCAGUGCCAGAGAACUGACCACUCUCUGUGGCAGUGUCCUUCUGACCCUUGGAAUUACAACUCAUGCUCUCCCAAGGAGGAAGCCUAUAUCUCGUGUGCAGGGAGAAGACCCAAGAGCUGUCCAGCUGCUGCCCCCUGCACAGACAGAGAGAAGCUCCGGCUCAGGGGAGGAGACAGCGAGUGCUCAGGGCGGGUGGAGGUGUGGCACAGCGGCUCCUGGGGCACUGUGUGCGAUGACUCCUGGAGCCUGGCAGAGGCCGAGGUGGUGUGUCAGCAGCUGGGCUGUGGCCAGGCCUUGGAAGCUGUGCGGACUGCGGCAUUCGGCCCUGGAAACGGGAGCAUCUGGCUGGACGAGGUGCGGUGCCGGGGCCGGGAGUCCUCCUUGUGGGACUGUGCUGCAGAGCCCUGGGGGCAGAGCGACUGCAAGCACGAGGAGGAUGCUGGUGUGAGGUGCUCUGGUGCAAGGACAUCUUUGCCCCCAACUACAACAGGGACCAGACCAGCUUUGAAUCCUCUGCCUGGCAUCUUCUCCCUGCCUUGGGUCCUCUGCCUCAUCCUGGGAGCCCUACUCUUCCUGGUCCUCAUCAUCCUGGUGACUCAGUUGCUCAGAUGGAGAGCAGAGCGCAGAGCCUUUUCCAGCUAUGAAGAUGCUCUUGCUGAAGCUGAGUAUGAAGAGCUCGAUUACCUUGUGACACAGAAGGAGGGUCUUCUGGACGUUGCAGGCUUCCUGUCAGAUGGUGAGGACGACGAGGACUCCAGAUCCACUCCAGAACAUCAGAGGACUGAUGCCCCUGGUGAGGGUUAUGAUGAUGCUGAAGAGGUACCAGUGCCUGGGGCUCCUCCUGCCUCUCAGGUGAGAGAAGAGGAAGUGCCCCCAGAGAAGGAAGAUGGGAUGAGGUCUCAGACAGGCUCUUCUCUAUUCGUCUUUGGAGAGGAAGCUGAUCCUGGGGAAGGAGAAGAGAGCCCAUGGCUGCUCCAGGGGGACAAAGGUGACCCUGGGUAUGAUGACAUUGAUGUGCCCCAGGAACAGUGACUUUCCCAUGAUGUUGUAUUAAAUAUGAGAUGAAGCCUCAGAUAUUCUAAUUGCCUGUAUUUCAAUACAGUAAUGCUGACCUGUAAUUGUGUUAUAUGGACAUUGUUCAAAAUGAAACAUUCUGAAUAAAGUAACUUUUUGCUGUGUUGCUAAUUUAGCA
rnacentral:lncRNA from 1 species